CGAGUCCGAGUCUCCACGGAGACGAAGUGGCGGUCAUCCAGCUUCCUAGAAAAGCUCUAACCACGUUAAUCUUUAGUUGCCUGUACCCGAAACCGACACAGGUAGGGGGGUAGAGAUUACCAAGGGGCGCGAGAUAACUCUCUCUAAGGAACUCGGCGAAAUGACCCCGUAACUUCGGGAGAAGGGGUACCACUGAGAAGUGGUCGCAGUGAAGAGGCCCAGGCGACUGUUUACCAAAAACACAGGUCUCCGCCAAGUCGCAAGACGAAGUAUGGGGGCUGACGCCUGCCCAGUGCCGGAAGGUUAAGGAAGUGGGUUAGGGAUUCGUCCCGAAGCUGACGACUGAAGCCCCGGUGAACGGCGGCCGUAACUAUAACGGUCCUAAGGUAGCGAAAUUCCUUGUCGGGUAAGUUCCGACCCGCACGAAAGGCGUAACGAUCUGGGCGCUGUCUCGGAGAGAGGCUCGGCGAAAUAGGAAUGUCUGUGAAGAUACGGACUACCUGCACCUGGACAGAAAGACCCUAUGAAGCUUUACUGUAGCUUGGAAUUGGGUUCGGGCUUGGUUUGCGCAGGAUAGGUGGGAGGCGAAGAAGAUUUGCUUGUGGGUGAAUCUGAGCCAACGGUGAGAUACCACUCUAACCAGGCUAGAAUUCUAACUUCAACCCGUCAACCGGGGGAAGGACAGUUUCAGGUGGGCAGUUUGACUGGGGCGGUCGCCUCCUAAAAGAUAACGGAGGCGCACAAAGGUUCCCUCAGGCUGGUUGGAAAUCAGCCAACGAGUGCAAAGGCAGAAGGGAGCUUGACUGCGAGACCUACAAGUCAAGCAGGGUGGAAACACGGUCUUAGUGAUCCGACGGCACCGAGUGGAAGGGCCGUCGCUCAACGGAUAAAAGUUACUCUAGGGAUAACAGGCUGAUCUCCCCCAAGAGUUCACAUCGACGGGGAGGUUUGGCACCUCUCUCGGCUCAUCGCAACCUGGGGCGGAAGUACGUCCCAAGGGUUGGGCUGUUCGCCCAUUAAAGCGGUACGUGAGCUGAGUUCAGAACGCCGUGAGACAGUUCGGUCCAUAUCCGGUGUAGGCGCAAGAACAUUGAGAGGAGUCUUCCUUAGUACGAGAGGACCGGGAAGAACGCACCGCUGGUGUACCUGUUAUCGUGCCAACGGUAAACGCAGGGUAGCCAAGUGCGGAGUGGAUAACCGCUGAAAGCAUCUAAGUGGGAAGCCCACCUCAAGAUGAGCGUUCUCAUGGAGUAAUCCAGUAAGGUCACGGGAAGACGACCCGUUGAUAGGCGGUAGGUGGAAGUUCAGCAAUGGAUGAAGCCGAGCCGUACUAACAGACCGAGGGCUUGAC
rnacentral:rRNA from 1 species